rnacentral:rRNA from 1 species
UACAGGGGGUGCAAACGUUGCUCGGAAUCAUUGGGCGUAAAGCGCACGUAGGCGGUCUGUUAUGUCGGAUGUGAAAGCCCUUGGCUCAACUGAGGAAGUGCAUCCGAAACUGGCAGGCUAGAGUACGAAAGAGGAUCGCGGAAUUCCCGGUGUAGAGGUGAAAUUCGUAGAUAUCGGGAGGAGCACCGGUGGCGAAGGCGGCGAUCUGGGUCGAUACUGACGCUGAGGUGCGAAAGCGUGGGGAGCAAACAGG